UAAUACCAGCACCCCGAGUGGUCGGGACGAUUAUUGGGCCUAAAGCAUCCGUAGCCGGUUGUGCAAGUCCUCCGUUAAAUCCAGCCGCUCAACGGAUGGGCUGCGGAGGAUACUACAGGACUAGGAGGCGGGAGAGGCAAGCGGUACUCAGUGGGUAGGGGUAAAAUCCUUUGAUCCAUUGAAGACCACCAGUGGCGAAGGCGGCUUGCCAGAACGCGCUCGACGGUGAGGGAUGAAAGCUGGGGGAGCAAACCGGAUUAGAUACCCGGGUAGUCCCAGCUGUAAACGAUGCAGACUCGGUGAUGGGCUAGCUUCGUGUCAGCCCAGUGCCGCAGGGAAGCCGUUAAGUCUGCCGCCUGGGGAGUACGGUCGCAAGACUGAAACUCAAAUGAAUUG
rnacentral:rRNA from 1 species